CUUUCAAGGCUUCCUAGAAGACUGUCAUUGCACACAAAUACAAGAAUGAGCAACUCUCCUGGACCCCGGGAAUGAGAAGUCUGUGACCUAGGAGCUGGGAUAUCAAUCAACUUUCUAGAUCAUGAAGAACAAAAGAAUCCAGAAGGAAUGGUGUGUGUGUGCCUUUGCUGGAUGCAACAGUCUAUCUGCUGUUUUGAAUAUAUUCCAAGAUCAUUUGCCAAGAAAAGAAGAAUUUAAGGACAAUUGGUUUUGAUUCCACUGAAGAAAUACAAAGUCACUGUUCUCAAGAAUUCUAACAAAGGAAAGAAGAAAGGACUCCCCAAAGUUAUUCCAGUUUAUCUCGUCUCCUAAGUAUGUCGUUGAGUUGAAAUUACUCAUCUUCUCUGAGGUUGGGUAUGACCAUGUAAGUUCUUUUGGCCAAUGAAGCAUGAGUUGGAGUGAGGUAUACAACUUUCAUGUGGACGCUUUGAGGACCAGUAAGUAACUGGUCACAUUCCUUUUGUUCGGCCCUAGUGAUCGUAGAGGUAUUUGAUAAAAGUAGAGCUUCCGUAAACCAGAGUCUUGGAACAUGCAUUAUAAACAGAGUCUCUCUCCAGUCUUCACUGAAUAUGGA